rnacentral:tRNA from 1 species
AAGAUUAACUAUUUAGGCUUCUAACCUAAUAAUAAUGAGUAAUUUCAUUUAAUCUUU